UGGGGAAUAUUGCACAAUGGACGGAAGUCUGAUGCAGCAACGCCGCGUGCGGGAUGACGGCCUUCGGGUUGUAAACCGCUUUUUCUCAUGACGAAGUUUUUUGACGGUAGUGGGGGAAGAAGCACCGGCUAACUACGUGCCAGCAGCCGCGGUGAUACGUAGGGUGCGAGCGUUGUCCGGAAUUAUUGGGCGUAAAGAGCUUGUAGGCGGUUUGUCGCGUCGAUAGUGCAAACUCAGUGCUUAACGCUGAGCCUGCUGUUGAUACGGGCAGACUGGAGGAAGGUAGGGGAGAAUGGAAUUCCCGGUGGAGCGGUGGAAUGCGCAGAUAUCGGGAGGAACACCGGUGGCGAAGGCGGUUCUCUGGGCCUUUCCUGACGCUGAGAAGCGAAAGCGUGGGGAGCGAACAGG
rnacentral:rRNA from 1 species